rnacentral:rRNA from 1 species
GACGAACGCUGGCGGCGUGCUUAACACAUGCAAGUCGAGCGGUAAGGCCCUUUCGGGGGUACACGAGCGGCGAACGGGUGAGUAGCACGUGGGUGACCUGCCCUCAGCUCUGGGAUAAGCCUGGGAAACCGGGUCUAAUACUGGAUAUGACUCCAUGACGCAUGUUGUGGGGUGGAAAGCCUUGUGCGGCUGAGGAUGGGCCCGCGGCCUAUCAGCUUGUUGGUGGGGUGAUGGCCUACCAAGGCGACGACGGGUAGCCGGCCUGAGAGGGCGACCGGCCACACUGGGACUGAGACACGGCCCAGACUCCUACGGGAGGCAGCAGUGGGGAAUAUUGGACAAUGGGCGAAAGCCUGAUCCAGCAAUGCCGCGUGUGUGAAGAAGGCCUGCGGGUUGUAAA